CAAUUGAAACGAAACUGGUUUUCACAAUGAACUGACAGAUAGAUAUGAUUCUGAGAUCAUUGUGAAAGCUGAUUUUGUUCAAGCAUCAA
rnacentral:pre_miRNA from 9 species